GGCCCUGUAGUUCAAUGGAUAGAAUAGAAGUUUCCUAAACUUUAGAUGCAAGUUCGAUUCUUGUCAGGGCUACUA
rnacentral:tRNA from 1 species